UACAGAGGUCUCAAGCGUUGUUCGGAUUCAUUGGGCGUAAAGGGUGCGUAGGUGGCGCCGUAAGUCGGGUGUGAAAUUUCGGAGCUUAACUCCGAAACUGCAUUCGAUACUGCGGUGCUUGAGGACUGGAGAGGAGACUGGAAUUCAUGGUGUAGCAGUGAAAUGCGUGGAGAUCAAGAGGAACACUCGUGGCGAAAGCGAGCUACUGGACAAUAUCUGACGCUGAGGCUCGAAGGCCAGGGUAGCGAAAGGG
rnacentral:rRNA from 1 species